AUGUUGCCAAUGGAGUUAAAUGGUCCUCCAUUUGGUCAACCAACAACUCCAGCAACUGCUGAGCAAUCUCAUGUGCAAGUGCCCACUCAAGAUGAGUUCGAUGACAUAGACAAGCUCACAUUGCUUAGUCUUGAGUUCACUUGGAGUGCCGAGGAUGAUCCUAUUAGGAAGGUUAUACUAGAUGAAAUGAAGAAGAUCAAGAGUGGAAAAGAGCUAGUGGAAGAAGUAAGGAAGAUUGAGAAGAACAUCAACGCUGGCAGCACUAUUUCUUCACAACUUGAGUUGAGUGUGGCUGAGAUAUCCAUGGAUACAUGUGAGGUUCCAACACCUUCACAUUUCGUUGAGCAAGUUAGCAAGUGCCUUGAGCAAGAGAUACCUCAGAUUGAAGAAGAUGAACUAGAAGACAAGGAACAAGAUGGUCAAGAGCUGCAAUUCCCAAGUGAUCAAGUUGAAGACUCAUCAUCUAUUACUCCUGAAGAAGUACAAGAAGCUGCUGUAGAUGAAGAUGAAGAACAUGAGAUUCAUUUGCCUAUUGUCAUACCAGAGCGUGAUGUGUCAGGUUUACUCAAUCCUCUUGAUGACAUGAUGCCUUGUGAUUUCUUGGCUACCACCUUGCAUUACAUGAUACCAUCACUUACGAUCGAUUUGAAAACUCAUUUGCUUGGAUAUGAUGAUAUAUACCCUGUUAGUGGCAUUGCUCUCAUUUGUGAUGAUCAAAAUUACUUUCCUCAUGCUAGUCUUGAGCUUAAUGAUAAAUGUCAUCCUCGUGUGAGUAUUGACCAUGCUGAUUUCUGCCAUCCUAAACAUGUGCUUUAUAGUUAUGCUUAUAUAAUUGGAUAUUCCAUUGAUGACUUGGAGGGCAUCGACCGUAUCACUUGUAGUUGUUUGUGUGAGUCCUAUUUCGGGCUUUUGCUACUGCACUGUUUACUACAUGCUGACCAGGUUCGAGGUGACAUUCCUUGGGAUCCUGGUGGAGUCAGAGCAUGGCUAUGA
rnacentral:rRNA from 1 species